UUUUGUAUAAUGGGUCAGCGACUUAUAUUCUGUAGCAAGGUUAACCGUAUAGGGGAGCCGGAGGGAAACCGAGUCUUAAUUGGGCGUUAAGUUGCAGGGUAUAGACCCGAAACCCGGUGAUCUAGCCAUGGGCAGGUUGAAGGUUGGGUAACACUAACUGGAGGACCGAACCGACUAAUGUUGAAAAAUUAGCGGAUGACCUGUGGCUGGGGGUGAAAGGCCAAUCAAACCGGGAGAUAGCUGGUUCUCCCCGAAAGCUAUUUAGGUAGCGCCUCGUGAAUUCAUCUCCGGGGGUAGAGCACUGUUUCGGCUAGGGGGCCAUCCCGGCUUACCAACCCGAUGCAAACUGCGAAUACCGGAGAAUGUUAUCACGGGAGACACACGGCGGGUGCUAACGUCCGUCGUGAAGAGGGAAACAACCCAGACCGCCAGCUAAGGUCCCAAAGUCAUGGUUAAGUGGGAAACGAUGUGGGAAGGCCCAGACAGCCAGGAUGUUGGCUUAGAAGCAGCCAUCAUUUAAAGAAAGCGUAAUAGCUCACUGGUCGAGUCGGCCUGCGCGGAAGAUGUAACGGGGCUAAACCAUGCACCGAAGCUGCGGCAGCGAACGUAUCACCCAAGACAACUUUACGGAGUUGACGAUUGACGGAGCGAAGCGACGUCAAAGCGUUCAUUAAAGUCGAGUUGGCUUAGGGAUACGUUCGUUGGGUAGGGGAGCGUUCUGUAAGCCUGUGAAGGUGUGUCGUGAGGCAUGCUGGAGGUAUCAGAAGUGCGAAUGCUGACAUAAGUAACGAUAAAGCGGGUGAAAAGCCCGCUCGCCGGAAGACCAAGGGUUCCUGUCCAACGUUAAUCGGGGCAGGGUGAGUCGACCCCUAAGGCGAGGCCGAAAGGCGUAGUCGAUGGGAAACGGGUUAAUAUUCCCGUACUUGGUGUUACUGCGAAGGGGGGACGGAGAAGGCUAUGUUGGCCGGGCGACGGUUGUCCCGGUUUAAGCGUGUAGGUGUGUGUUCCAGGUAAAUCCGGUUCACUUUAACACUGAGGCGUGACGACGAGGCACUACGGUGCUGAAGCAACAAAUGCCCUGCUUCCAGGAAAAGCCUCUAAGCAUCAGGUAACACGAAAUCGUACCCCAAACCGACACAGGUGGUCAGGUAGAGAAUACCAAGGCGCUUGAGAGAACUCGGGUGAAGGAACUAGGCAAAAUGGUGCCGUAACUUCGGGAGAAGGCACGCUGACACGUAGGUGAAGUGAUUUACUCAUGGAGCUGAAGUCAGUCGAAGAUACCAGCUGGCUGCAACUGUUUAUUAAAAACACAGCACUGUGCAAACACGAAAGUGGACGUAUACGGUGUGACGCCUGCCCGGUGCCGGAAGGUUAAUUGAUGGGGUCAGCGUAAGCGAAGCUCCUGAUCGAAGCCCCGGUAAACGGCGGCCGUAACUAUAACGGUCCUAAGGUAGCGAAAUUCCUUGUCGGGUAAGUUCCGACCUGCACGAAUGGCGUAAUGAUGGCCAGGCUGUCUCCACCCGAGACUCAGUGAAAUUGAACUCGCUGUGAAGAUGCAGUGUACCCGCGGCAAGACGGAAAGACCCCGUGAACCUUUACUAUAGCUUGACACUGAACAUUGAGCCUUGAUGUGUAGGAUAGGUGGGAGGCUUUGAAGUGUGGACGCCAGUCUGCAUGGAGCCGACCUUGAAAUACCACCCUUUAAUGUUUGAUGUUCUAACGUGGACCCGUAAUCCGGGUUGCGGACAGUGUCUGGUGGGUAGUUUGACUGGGGCGGUCUCCUCCUAAAGAGUAACGGAGGAGCACGAAGGUUGGCUAAUCCUGGUCGGACAUCAGGAGGUUAGUGCAAUGGCAUAAGCCAGCUUGACUGCGAGCGUGACGGCGCGAGCAGGUGCGAAAGCAGGUCAUAGUGAUCCGGUGGUUCUGAAUGGAAGGGCCAUCGCUCAACGGAUAAAAGGUACUCCGGGGAUAACAGGCUGAUACCGCCCAAGAGUUCAUAUCGACGGCGGUGUUUGGCACCUCGAUGUCGGCUCAUCACAUCCUGGGGCUGAAGUAGGUCCCAAGGGUAUGGCUGUUCGCCAUUUAAAGUGGUACGCGAGCUGGGUUUAGAACGUCGUGAGACAGUUCGGUCCCUAUCUGCCGUGGGCGCUGGAGAACUGAGGGGGGCUGCUCCUAGUACGAGAGGACCGGAGUGGACGCAUCACUGGUGUUCGGGUUGUCAUGCCAAUGGCACUGCCCGGUAGCUAAAUGCGGAAGAGAUAAGUGCUGAAAGCAUCUAAGCACGAAACUUGCCCCGAGAUGAGUUCUCCCUGAGACUUUAGGUCUCCUGAAGGAACGUUGAAGACGACGACGUUGAUAGGCCGGGUGUGUAAGCGCAGCGAUGCGUUGAGCUAACCGGUACUAAUGAACCGUGAGGCUUAACCUUACAACGCCGAAG
rnacentral:rRNA from 1 species